rnacentral:rRNA from 1 species
CGUAGGGUGCGAGCGUUAAUCGGAAUUACUGGGCGUAAAGCGUGCGCAGGCGGUUAUGUAAGACAGUUGUGAAAUCCCCGGGCUCAACCUGGGAAUUGCAUCUGUGACUGCAUAGCUAGAGUACGGUAGAGGGGGAUGGAAUUCCGCGUGUAGCAGUGAAAUGCGUAGAUAUGCGGAGGAACACCGAUGGCGAAGGCAAUCCCCUGGACCUGUACUGACGCUCAUGCACGAAAGCGUGGGGAGCAAACAGGAUUAGAUACCCUGGUAGUCCACGCCCUAAACGAUGUCAACUGGUUGUUGGGUCUUUACUGACUCAGUAACGAAGCUAACGCGUGAAGUUGACCGCCUGGGGAGUACGGCCGCAAGGUUG